ACCAGGAAGUGUCUUAAAUAAUAUCUGAGUUGUGAGCACUGCACCAGAUGGUGUCUUGGAUCAUCGCUGAGGUGUGACCACUGCAGCAGGAGGUGUCUUGGAUCAUCGCUGUGGUGUGAGAACUGCACAAGGAGGUGUUUUCCAUCAUCCCUGAGGUUGAGCACCGUAUCAGCAGGUAUCUUGGAUCAUCUCAGAGGUGUGAGCACUGCACCAGGAGGUGUCUUGGAUCAUCCCUGAAAGUUGAGCACUGUACCAGCAGGUAUCUUGGAUCAUCUCAGAGGUGUGAGCAUUGCACCAGGAAGUGUCUUGGAUCAUCCCUGAGGUAGGAUCACUGCACUGGGAAGUGUCUUGAAUCAUCCCUGAGGUGUGAGCACAGUAACAGGAGGUGUCUUGGAUCCUCCCAGAGAUGUGAGCACUGCAGCAGGAGGUGUCUUCAAUCAUCAGAGGAAAGAGCACUACACCAAGAGAUGUCUUGGAUCACGUCUGAGGUGUGAUCACUGUAGCAAGAGGUGCCUUGAAUCAUCCCUGAGGUGUGAGCACUGUACCAAGACGUGUCUUGGAUCAUCCAGGAGGUGUGAGCACUUCACCAGGAUCAUCAUACCUGACGUGUGAACAUUUCACCCAGAAGUGGCUUAUGUCAUGCCUGAGGUGUGAUUCAUGCACCAGGAGGUGUUUUGUAUCAUCCCUGAGGUGCAGGCACUGCACCAGUAGGUCUCUUGGAUUAUGCCUAAGGUUUGAGCACUGCACCAGGAAGUGUCUUUUAUCAUCCCUGAGGUGUGAGCACUGCACAAGGAGGUGUCUUAAGUAAUCUCUGAGGUGGGAGCCCUGCACAGGGAGGUGUCUUCAUUCAUCCCCCAGAAGGGACUACUGCACCAAGAGGUUUUUUGGAUAAUCCUGAGGAGGGAGCACUGCACCAGGAGGUAUCUUGGAUGAUAACUGAGUUUUAACCACUGCAGCAAGAAGUGCCUUAAAUAAUCUCUGAGGUGGAAACACUACACAAGGAGGUGUCUUGGAUCAUCCCUGAGGUGCAGACACUGCACCAGGAGGUCUGUAGGAUUAUCCCUGAGGUUUGAGCACUGCACCAGGAAGUGUCUUUUAUCAUCCCUGAGUUGGGAGCACUGCACCAGGAGGUGUAUUGGAACAUCACUUAGGUGGAGCACUGCACCUGCAAGUGCCUUGGAUCAUGCCUGACGUGUGAGCACUGCACCAGCAGGUGUCUUGGCUCAUCCCUGAACAGGGAGUACUGCACAAGGAGGUGUCUUGUGUCACACCUGAGGUGUGAGCACUGUACCAGGAGGUGUCUAGGAUCAUCCCUGAAUUGUGAGAAGUGCACCAGGAGGUGUCAUGGAGCAUCCCUGAGGUGGGAGCACUGCACCAGGAAGUGGCUUGCAUGUUGCAUCAUCCCUGAGGUAGGAGCACUACACCAGCAGGUGUCUUGGAUCUUUCCAGAGGUAGGAGCACUUCACCAGGAGGUAUCUUGAAUCAACCCUAAGGUAAGAGCACUGCACCAAAGGGGUCUUGGAUCAUCCCUGGAGUGGGGGGAACACUACUCCAGGAGGUGUCUUGGGUCAUCCUUGAGGUGUGAGCACUGCACCAAAAGGUGUCUUGUAUUAUGCCUGAUUGUAUUAUGCCUGAGUGUGAGCAUUGCACUUGGGGGUGUCUUGGAUCAUUCCUGAAGUAGGAUCACUGUCUCAGGGAGUGUCUUGAAUCAUUCCUGAGGUGUAAGGAUUGUUACAGGAGAUGUCUUGAAUCAUCAGAGGAAAGACCACUACACCAAGUGGUGUCUUGGAUCAUCCCUGAGGUGUGAACUUUGCACCCGGAAGUGUCUUAUCAUGCCUGAGGUGUGACCCAUGUACCAGGAGGUCUCUUGUAUCAUCCCUGAGAUGGGAUCACACACCAUGAGGUGUCUUGGAUCAAAUCUGAGGUGCAGACGCUGCACAAGGAGGUCUCUUGAAUCAUCCCUGAGGUGGCAGCACUGCACCAGAAGGUGUAUUGGAUCAUCCCUCAGGUGUGAACACUGCACCAGGAAGUGUCUAAAAUCAUGCCUGAGGUGUCAGCACUGCACCAGGAGGUGUUUUUGAUCAUCCCUAAGGUGCAGGCACUGCACCAGGAGGUCUCUUGGAUUAUGCCUGGGGUUUGAGCACUGCAUCAGGAAGUGUCUUUUAUCAUCCCUGAUGUGUAAGCAUUGCGCCAGGAGGUGUCUUGCGUCAUUCCUGAGGUGUGUACACUGCACCAGGAGUUGUUCUGCAUUAUUCCUGAGGUCGGAGCACUGCAUCACAAGUGUCUUGGAUCGUGCCUGAUGGUGCCUGACCAGCAAGUGUCUUAACUCAUCCCUGAGGAGGGAGUACUGUAACAGGUGUCUUGGAUCAUCCCUUGGAGUGCAGCACUACACCACCAGGUGCUUUGAAUCAUCUCUGAGGUGUGAGCAGCGCACCAGGAAGUGUCUUGUAUUAUGACUACGUGUGAAUACUUCACCAGGUGGUUUUUUGGAUAAUUCCUAGGUGUGACCGCUGCACCAGGAGGUAUCUCGGAUCAUGCCAGAGUUGUGAGCACUGCAUCAGGAGAUGUUUUGGAUCAUCCCUGAGGUGUGACCACUGGACCAGGAGGUGUCUUGGAUCAUGCCUGAGUGUGAGCACUGUACCAGGUGGGUUUUUUGUAUCACCCCUAGGUGUGAGUACUGCAUCAGGAAGUACCUUGGAUCAUGUCUGAGUUGUGAUCACUGCACCAGGACAUGUCUUAAAUCAUAUCUGAGUUGUGAGCAUUGCACCAAGAGUUGUUUUGGAGCAUCCCUGAGGUGUGAGCACUGCACCAAGAGGUGUCUUGGAUCAUGCCAGAGUUGUGACCACUCCACCAGGAUAUGUUUUGGAACAUACCUGAGGUGUGAGCACUGCACCAGGAGGUGUCUUAGAUUAUGCCUGAGUGUGAGCAACUCACCAGGAUGUACCUUGGAUCAUGCCUGAGUUUUGUGGGCACUGCACCAGGAUGUGUUUUGGAUAAUCCCUGAGGUGUGAGCACUGCACCAGGAAGUGUUUUGUAUUAUGCCUGAGUGUGAACACUGCACCAGGUGGUUUUUUGGAUGAUUCCUAGGUGUGACCACUGCACCAUCAUCAUGCCAGAGUUGUGAGCACUGCAUCAGGAGAUGUUUUGGAUCAUCUCUGAGGUGUGAUCACUGUACCAGGGGUGUCUUGAAUCAUCCCUGAGGGGUGAACACUGUGACAGGAGGUGUCUUGAAUCAUCCCUGAGGUAAGAGCACUGCACCAGGAGGUCUUUGGAUCAUCAUACCUGAGGUGUGAACAUUUCACCCAGAAGUGUCAUAUCAUGUCUGAGGUGUGACCCAUGCACUAGGAGGUGUUUUGUAUCAUGCCUGAGUUGUGACCACUGUACCAGAGGGUGUUUUGGAACAUCCCUGAGGUGUGAGCACUGCACCAGGUGGUGUCUUGGAUCAUCUCUGUAGUGUGAGAAUUACACAAAGAGGUGUUUUUAAUUAUCCCUGGGGUGAGAGCACUACACCAGGAAUUGUGUUGGAUCAUGCCUGAGUGUGAGCACUGCACCAGGAGGUAUUUUGAAUCAUGCCUGAGUUGUGAGCCCUGCAUCAUGAGGUGUUUUGGAUCAUCCCUGAGGUGCGAGCACUGCACCAGGGGGUGUCUUGGAUCAUCCCUGAGGUGUGAGCACUGCACCAGGAGAUGUCUUGGAUCAUCCCUGAGGUGUAAGCACUGCACAAAGGACUGUCUUGUAUUAUUCCUGAGUGCAAACGCUGCACCAGGUGUCUUUUUGGAUCAUUCCUAGGUGUGACCACUGCACCAGGAGGUAUCUCAAGUCAUGCCAGAGAUGUGAGCACUGCAUUAGAAGAUGUUUUGGAUCGUCCCUAAGGUGUGAGCAUGGGACCAGGAGGUCUCUUGGAUCAUCUCUGAGUUGAAAGCACUGUUCCAAGAGGUGUCUUGGAUCAUGCCUGAGUGUGAGCACUGCACCACGUGGUUUUUUGGAUCAUCCCUAGGUGUGAGCACUGCACCAGGAGGUAUCUUGGAUCAUGUCUGAGUUGUGAUCACUGCACCAGGAGAUGUCUUAAAUCAUAUCUGAGUUGUGAGCACUGCUUUGGAGCAUCCCUGAGGUGUGAGCACUGCACGAGGUGGUGUCUUGGAUCAUGCCUGAGUUGUGACCACUGCACCAGGGGGUGUUUUGGAACAUCCUGAGGAGUGAGCACUGCACCAGGUGGUGUCUUGGAUCAUCCCUGUAGUGUGAAAACUGCACAAGGAGGUAUUUUCCAUCAUCCCUAAGGUGGGAGCACUACACCAAGAAGUGUGUUGGAUAAUGCUUGAGAUGUGAGCACUGCACCAGGAGGUGUCUUAGAUCAUGCCUGAGUGUGAGCACCUCACCAGGAUGUACCUUGCAUGAUGCCUGAGUUGUGUGGACACUGCAUCAGGAUGUGUUUUGGAUCACCCUUGAGGUGUGAGCACUGUACCAGGAAUUGUCUUGGAUCAUCCCUGAGUGUGAGCACUACACCAGGAGGUGUUUGGGGUCAUCCAUAAGGUCUCAGCACUGCACCAGGAGGUUUCUUGUAUUAUGCCUGAGUGUGAGCACUGCACCAGGAGGUAUUUUGAAUCAUGUCUGAGUUGUGAGCACUGCAUCAGGAGGUAUUUUGGAUCAUCCCUGAGGUGUGAGCACUGCACCAGGAGGUGUCUUGGAUCAUCCCUGAGGUGUGAACAUUGCACCCAGAAGUGUCUUAUGUCAUGCCUGCAGUGUGAGCACUGCACCAGGAUGUCUAGGAUCAUCCCUGAAUUGUGAGCACUGAACCAGGAGGUGUCUUGAUUCAUCCCUGAGGUGUGAGCACCUCACCAGGAGGUAUCUUGGAUCAUCCCUGAGAUGUGAACACCUCACCAGGAAGUGUCUUGGAUCAUGUCUGAGUUGUGAGCACUGCACCAGGAGGUGUCUUAAAUCAUCUCUGAGGUUUGAGCACUACACCAGGAGGUGUCUUAAAUCAUGCUGAAAAGUGACCACUGCACCAGGAGGCAUCUUGGAUCAUGUCUCAGUUGCAACAGGAGGUGUCUUGGAUCAUCCCUGUGGUAUAAGCACUGCACCAGAAGGUGUCUUGGAUCAACCCUGGGAUGGAGGCAGUGCACCAGAAGGUGUCUUGGAUCAACCCUGGGAUGGAGGCAGUGCACCAGAAGGUGUCUUGGAUCAUCCCUGAUGUGGGAGCACUGCAUCAGGAGAUCUCUUGGAUCAUCGCUGAGGUGUGAGCACUGCACCAGGAGGUAUCUGGAAUGAUUUUUGAGGAGAGUGUAGUGCACGAGGAGGUAUCUUGGAUCUACCCUGAGGUGUGAGCACUGCAACAGGAAGUGUCUUGGAUCAUCCCUGAGGUGUGAGCACUGCAACAGGAUGUGUCCUCAAUCAUCCAUGAGGGGGGAUCACUGCACCAGGAGGUGUCUUGUAUCAUUGCUGAGGUGGAAGCACUGCACAAGGAAGUGUCUUAGAUCAACCUGACUUGUGAGCACUGCACCAGAAGGUGUCUUGGAUCAUUGCUAAGAUGCAAGCACUGCACCAGCAGAUGUCUCAGAUCGUCCUUUAGGUGGGAGCGCUACAUGAGGGGUGUCUUGGAUCAUCCCUGAGGAGGGAGCACUACACCAGGAGGUGUCUUGGAUAAUUUCUGAGGUGCAGGCACUGCAUCAUGAGGUGUCUUGGAUCGUCGCUGAAGUGUAAGCACUGCACCAGGAGGUGUUGUGAAUCAUCGCUGAGGUGUGAGCACUGCACCAGUAGGUGUCUUGGAUCAUCCUUGGGGUGUGAACAUUGCAUCAGGAGAUGUCUCAGAUCAUCCCUGAGGUGCAGGCACUGUACCAGGAGGUAUCUUGAAUCAUUUCUGAGGUGCAGGUGCUGCACCAGGUGUCUUGAAUCAGCCCUGAGGUGUGAGCACUACACCAGGAGGUGUCUUGAUUCAUCCCUGAGGUGUGAGCACUGCACCAGGAGCUGUCUUGAAUAACUUCUGAGGUGUGACCAUUGUACCAGGAGGUGUCCUGUAUCAUCCCUGUGGAGGGAGCACUGCACCAGAAGGUGUAUUGGAUCAUCACUGAAGUGUGAACACUACAUCAAAAGGCAUCACGAAUCAUCCCUAAGGCUUGAGCACUGUACCAGGAGGUGUCUUUGAUCAUGCCUGAGAUGUAAGCACUGCACUAGGAGGUGUUUUGGAUCAUCCCUAGGUGGGAGCACUACACCAAGAGGAGUCUUGGAUCAUCUUUGAGGUGGGAGUACCACACCACGAGGUGUCUUGGAUCAUCCCUGAGGUGGAAGCACUGCACCAGGAGUUGUCUUGGAUCAUUCCUGAGGUGUGAGUACUGCACCAGGAGGUAUCUUGUAUCAUCCCCGAGGUCAGAGCACUACACCAGGAGAUGUUUGGAUCAAACCUGACAUGUAGGCACCGCACCAGAAGGUCUCUUGGAUGAUGCCUGAAUUGUCAGCACUGCACCAGGAAGUGUAUUUUAUCAUCCUUGAGGUCAGAACACUGCACCAGCAAGUGUCUUGGAUUCUGCCUAAGGUGUGAGCACUGCACAAGCAGUUGUCUUGGCUCAUCCCUAAGAAGGGAGUACUGCGCCAGGGGGUGUCUUGGAUUAUGCCUGAGUUGUGAGCACUGUAUCAGGAGGUGUCUUGGAUCAGCCCUGAAUUGUGAGCACUGCACAAGGAGGUGUCUUGGAUCAUCCCUGAGGUGGGAGCACUGCACCAGGAGGUGUCUUCAAUCAUCCCUGAGGUGUGAGCACUGCACCAGGAGAUGUCUUGGAUCAUCCCUGAGGCACCUUCCCAACAUCUAUGACUCUUUGAACUGCUCAUAAAGAGCGCUGAUUAAUGUGACACUUCACAUGCCCACCAUGAAAUUAGGAAGGCCCUUAGAUCUCCUUCAAACCCACGGUGCCGGUGCCUUCGCCCCAUCAAUCAGAGAUGAAACUGUGAUUGCGUUGCAAGGAGACGAGGCCAUCCUGGAGUUCUGCCAUGAAAGAAUCGCUGGGACUCAAAGAAGGGGAAAGCAAGAGAAGGAGAGAGGGGGAAAGGGAAAGAGAAGCUGCUUCCAGAAGGAAUAAAUUUGUGCAUGUACUUUGA